rnacentral:misc_RNA from 1 species
UUUCCGUAGGUGAACCUGCGGAAGGAUCAUUAUUGUAUAACCGAGGUGCGAGGGCUGUCGCUGACCCGAAAGGUCGUGCACGCCCGAGUGCCCUCACACACAUCCAACUCACCCCUAUGUGCACCACCGCGUGGGUCCCCCUUUGGCUUGUUCGGAGGGGGGCUUACGUUUUCACACAUACUUUGUAUGCAGUGUAGAAUGUAUUUUUUGUUUUUGCGAUCACGCAAUCAAUACAACUUUCAACAACGGAUCUCUUGGCUCUC